rnacentral:rRNA from 1 species
UGGGGAAUUGUUCACAAUGGGCGCAAGCCUGAUGACGCAACGCCGCGUGGGGGAUGAAGGUCUUCGGAUUGUAAACCCCUGUCGAAUGGGACGAAAGACUCGCGAGUUAAUACUUCGCGGGAGUGACGGUACCGUUAAAGGAAGCCACGGCUAACUCUGUGCCAGCAGCCGCGGUAAUACAGAGGUGGCAAGCGUUGUUCGGAAUUACUGGGCGUAAAGGGCGCGUAGGCGGCCUACUAAGUCAGACGUGAAAUCCCCCGGCUUAACCUGGGAACUGCGUCUGAUACUGGAAGGCUUGAGUAUGGGAGAGGGAUGUAGAAUUCCAGGUGUAGCGGUGAAAUGCGUAGAUAUCUGGAGGAAUACCGGUGGCGAAGGCGGCAUCCUGGACCAUUACUGACGCUGAGGCGCGAAAGCUAGGGGAGCAAACGGGAUUAGAUACCCCCGUAGUCCCUGAGCGGGCUGGCAAGGCGCAU